CCUACGGGAGGCAGCAGUGGGGAAUUUUGGACAAUGGGCGCAAGCCUGAUCCAGCCAUGCCGCGUGCGGGAAGAAGGCCUUCGGGUUGUAAACCGCUUUUGUUCGGGAAGAAAUUGACUGGGCUAAUACCCCGGUUAGAUGACGGUACCGGAAGAAUAAGCACCGGCUAACUACGUGCCAGCAGCCGCGGUAAUACGUAGGGUGCGAGCGUUAAUCGGAAUUACUGGGCGUAAAGCGUGCGCAGGCGGUUUCGCAAGUCAGAUGUGAAAGCCCCGGGCUCAACCUGGGAACUGCAUUUGAAACUACGAAGCUAGAGUGUGUCAGAGGGGGGUAGAAUUCCACGUGUAGCAGUGAAAUGCGUAGAGAUGUGGAGGAAUACCAAUGGCGAAGGCAGCCCCCUGGGAUAACACUGACGCUCAUGCACGAAAGCGUGGGGAGCAAACAGGAUUAGAUACCCUGGUAGUCCACGCCCUAAACGAUGUCAACUAGUUGUCGGGAAGCAAUUCCUUGGUAACGCAGCUAACGCGUGAAGUUGACCGCCUGGGGAUACGGUCGCAAGNUUAAAACUCAAAGGAUUGACGGNNGAGAGNGCGAGACGACGACGAGGAGAG
rnacentral:rRNA from 1 species